AGUGAACGCUGGCGGUAGGCCUAACACAUGCAAGUCGAACGGCAGCACAGUAAGAGCUUGCUCUUACGGGUGGCGAGUGGCGGACGGGUGAGGAAUACAUCGGAAUCUACUUUUUCGUGGGGGAUAACGUAGGGAAACUUACGCUAAUACCGCAUACGACCUACGGGUGAAAGCAGGGGAUCUUCGGACCUUGCGCGAUUGAAUGAGCCGAUGUCGGAUUAGCUAGUUGGCGGGGUAAAGGCCCACCAAGGCGACGAUCCGUAGCUGGUCUGAGAGGAUGAUCAGCCACACUGGAACUGAGACACGGUCCAGACUCCUACGGGAGGCAGCAGUGGGGAAUAUUCGACAAUGGGCGCAAGCCUGACCCAGCCAUGCCGCGUGAGUGAAGAAGGCCUUCGGGUUGUAAAGCCCUUUUGUUGGGAAAGAAAAAAAGUAGGAUUAACCCUCGACGUUCUGACGGUACCUAAAGAAUAAGCACCGGCUAACUUCGUG
rnacentral:rRNA from 1 species